GGACUGUAGGCUGCAACUCGCCUACACGAAGCUGGAAUCGCUAGUAAUCGCGGAUCAGCACGCCGCGGUGAAUACGUUCCCGGGCCUUGUACACACCGCCCGUCACACCAUGGGAGUCGGAAAUGCCCGAAGCCGGUGACCCAACCAAAAGGAGGGAGCCGUCGAAGGCAGGUCUGAUAACUGGGGUGAAGUCGUAACAAGGUAGC
rnacentral:rRNA from 1 species